AAGCCUGAUCCAGCCAUGCCGGGUGUGGAAGAAGGCCUUAUGGUUGUAAAGCACUUUAAGCGAGGAGGAGGCUUACCUAGCUAAUUUCUAGGCUAAGUGGACGUUACUCGCAGAAUAAGCACCGGCUAACUCUGUGCCAGCAGCCGCGGUAAUACAGAGGGUGCAAGCGUUAAUCGGAAUUACUGGGCGUAAAGCGCGCGUAGGUGGCCAUUUAAGUCAAAUGUGAAAUCCCCGAGCUUAACUUGGGAAUUGCAUUCGAUACUGGAUGGCUAGAGUAUAGGAGAGGAAGGUAGAAUUCCAGGUGUAGCGGUGAAAUGCGUAGAGAUCUGGAGGAAUACCGAUGGCGAAGGCAGCCUUCUGGCCUAAUACUGACACUGAGGUGCGAAAGCAUGGGGAGCAAACAGGAUUAGAUACCCUGGUAGUCCAUGCCGUAAACGAUGUCUACUAGCCGUUGGGUCCUUUGAGGACUUAGUGGCGCAGCUAACGCGAUAAGUAGACCGCCUGGGGAGUACGGUCGCAAGACUAAAACUCAAAUGAAUUGACGGGGGCCCGCACAAGCGGUGGAGCAUGUGGUUUAAUUCGAUGCAACGCGAAGAACCUUACCUGGCCUUGACAUACUAAGAACUUUCUAGAGAUAGAUUGGUGCCUUCGGGAACUUAGAUACAGGUGCUGCAUGGCUGUCGUCAGCUCGUGUCGUGAGAUGUUGGGUUAAGUCCCGCAACGAGCGCAACCCUUUUCCUUACUUGCCAGCAUUUCGGAUGGGAACUUUAAGGAUACUGCCAGUGACAAACUGGAGGAAGGCGGGGACGACGUCAAGUCAUCAUGGCCCUUACGGCCAGGGCUACACACGUGCUACAAUGGUCGGUACAGAGGGUUGCUACACAGCGAUGUGAUGCUAAUCUCAAAAAGCCGAUCGUAGUCCGGAUUGGAGUCUGCAACUCGACUCCAUGAAGUCGGAAUCGCUAGUAAUCGCGGAUCAGAAUGCCGCGGUGAAUACGUUCCCGGGCCUUGUACACACCGCCCGUCACACCAUGGGAGUUUGUUGCACCAGAAGUAGAUAGUCUAACCCUCGGGAGGACGUUACCACGGGGGGCCCAAGGUGC
rnacentral:rRNA from 1 species